rnacentral:lncRNA from 1 species
UCUGAGCAUGUUUUAGCGUGUAAGUUUUUUAAUUGGCAACUGGAACAGUGUUCUUAUUCUCUAAAGCUGUCAGCAUUAUUAGGAGUGCACAUUUAGGAAUAAAGUGUAACCACGAGUGUGUGUGCUCAUGAAUGACGGAGACUAACGCAGAGGAUUCUUGGGGAGUUAUAAAUAUAAAUAUAUGCGCCAGAAAUGGAUACGUGGUGUGCGACGAAAGGAUUUCCCACCUUAAGGAAAAACAAAAUAAUCUAUUGCUAUAGGUUACCAGAUUAUGAUUUAUUGUUUCUGAAAUCUUCAUUUAAAAUAAUGGGCAUUGUAACUGUUCAAUUUAAUUGCUUGCUCGAACUUCAUAUAGUUAUUAAGAAACUUACAAUGACUUUGCUUAAUCAAUAUUUCAAUGAUGCCAAUUCAGAAUCCAACUACUGAUAAAUAUGGAUAUCAAUUAUAAACGAUCGGAAUACGGGAUAGAGUCCAAUUAAACGAAGCGUAUUAUCAUUUUAAAAACGUUAAUAUUAUAUUAACUCAACUGUAAACCUACUAUUUAUAUAGUCUGUUCUAAAUAGCCUCUAAUUAUUUGAUUUUAAACUGCAAAACCUAACCAA